rnacentral:lncRNA from 1 species
GGUUACCCUAGGUCUGCUCAGACAAACCUGAUAGAAUACUAUAUAUAAGUCUGGGCUGGAUGGGGUCCUGGAACUUAGGGGUCCUUUUUUUCACUGCCUGUUCUAGUUCUCAAGAGGCAGCUGUGCUGUAGUGGAGAGACCACUUGAUUUCAGCUUGGAAGGUCUGGAUUUGCAUCUGAUACCACCACUUAUUGGAAAUCACUUAACUUCUCCAGCUCUCAGUUUUCUGGACAAUAAAAUGGGGAUAACAUUGUCUCAUGUGGUCAUGAAAUAAUGGCAUGAGUACAACUUGUGACUGAUCUACAGUUAGACCAGCACUGGGGUCAGCUGACCAGUGUGGAAGGUGGGAGGGACAGGCUUUGGUUUGUGACUUGCCUGGAAGCAGAGGAGCAACACCAUGGUAGGACAGCACAGUGGCUCACAGCACACCACAGUCAUCCAAAGAGACCUGCUAUUAAGAGUGAAAAUGUGUCCAGUGCCCUGAAGUGGCCACCUGUGUUUGGAGGGAGCGAAUUACCUUCUGCUCUCCUGGAAUUGAUGAUUUCACAGUGAAGAUUUGCUGCCACGGAGAGAGCUGUGGGUGGAAUGCAAAGUUAUUGGUGUCUCUGGAAAUCCUCUUUGAUUUCCUGUGCUUGUUGGAAGAACCAGGGGGGCCUGGAGGUCCUCAGGUAGAACAUGGAGAAGCCAGAAGAGAGGUUUUCAUGCUCAUAAGAGACUAAUCUUAUGUCUUUGUUGGUAGAAGUCCAUUUAUAAAAAAGUGAAAACAAAAGAACAGUAAUUUUGUACUUCCAUCUAAACAUAUCGCAACAGAGAGGAAAAAGCUGGAAAACCCUGGAGUGGAGGCAAUGGGUUAUUAGUGUAAAAGGACCUGAAUAGAAACCCUUGACUCUUUGUAGUAUUUCUCUUCAUAUAAGAAAAAGCAUUCCCUACUUUCUUUCUCUAAAAUGGAGAAAAAUAUUUUGCUCAAGGUUCUUGAUUGGGAGUGGGGCUGGGGACAGGUCAAGGAUAGGCGGAAGAUAAUUUUCUUUUUUCUCCUUUGGUAGUGGGAGCUUAUGAAAAAGUAGACUGUAGAUGCUUCAGUGAUUACGGGGAGCUCAAAGUCUGUAGCUCCGGAACUAGACAACUGUGGAUAAGAUCUUAUCAUGUAGAUCUUGUAUUCUUCAACCUGCCAGUUGUUCCCCAGGGUAGAGGGAGGUGACAUAAGUGGGGUCCCCCAGAACCCUAGGGAAACUCCCUGCCUCAUCUCCCACAGGAAGCAAAUAAAGACCUUUAUC